rnacentral:lncRNA from 1 species
AAUAAUUCUAUCAGACAAUGAGUUUAUUUGGACUUGGAUCUAUUUGUGUAUUUUGUCAAUCAAAAUGAUUUCUAUUAAUUUUUGUUUUCUAUACUAUCAAUCUUAAUUACAUUUUGUAUAUUUUUUUUUCUUUACUAUUAGUUUAACUUAUUUGCUUGUCAUGAUCUGUACAGUUGUAUUCUGACAAUACAUCAAUAUACUGCUGCUCGUUAGAUGGAAAGUCAAUGUGGAAUGUUUAUAAAAGUGAUGAAAUUCAAUAUUUACAAGGUGUGACAACAGAUAAUGAGGGGAAUGUGUAUGUGACUAAUGCGAGUACAAACACUGUAAUAGUUGUAUCUGAUGAUGGUGAACAUCAUAAAGAACUUCUUACUGAAUCAAAUGGAUUGAAUGAGCCGUUUGAAAUUUAUUUUGACAAAACUGAUAAUAUUCUGCUUGUUUGUAAUGAAAGAGACGGAAAUGCAUUUCUUUUUGACGUGAUAAGGAAAUUAACAUAAAUAAACAUAAAUAAUUCUUUCAGACAAUGAGUUGAUUCAAACUCAAUCUAUUUGUGCAUUUAGUUAUUCAAAACAACUUGUAUCAUUUUUUGUUUUCUUUACUAUCAAUCUAACUUAAAUGAAUUUCAUUUUAUGUUCAGAAAAACAAAAUUAACAAAUUUGUUAUGUACAUGUUUAGGGUAAAAUUAACACUUUUAUUUCAUGUGUGACAAAAGAGUAACUUGAUAUGGAAAGUUAAUGAAAUGUUACAAAGUGUUGUUUAAUUGAUUAACACCACUUGAUGUUUGAUAGUUGAAGACAAAAACAAAAUUAAAAAUAUAUUUCAUGAUAUCUUUUUAAACCAUAUAUUACUAGUUUAAGAGGAAAUUUUAAUAUUAGUCAUAUAUGUAUGUCCUCAAUAGUUUGUUUAUUCGAAACAUAUACGGAUGAAAGGUUCUAAAUAAAUUCAAAAUAAAUUCCACAUCGUAUUAUGUCGUUGGGUUGCUGUAUAUUGGGCGAUAAACGCUUUAAUUUCAUCUGUGACAACAAAUAAAUUUUAUAAUAAAUUUAGAGAAAUGUUACAAAGACAUAAUGUUCUUUGAUUUACAUCCACUUUCUGUUUCAGAGAAAACCAUGACUCAAGAUAGACUUCAUCAUAUCCUUGAAAUUUUUUUUUAUAGUCCCUAGGGUUGACAGUCGGUUACUUGCCAUUAAUUUUUAUACCCCUUCCAAAUUUAUUUCUCCAUGUUUUAUGCCUCAAAUUGCAAGUAGGGGGUGAAAUUACACUGUAAAAAUGUUUGGGUCCAGAAAUUUAAAGGAAAGUAGUGAUUUGGUGUAGGUAAAAAAGGUUGAAAAAUAGCACUUCGGAAGCUGUCAAAAGAUUUCAAGACGCCCUAAAGAUAAAAUUGUCCAUAUUUUUAGUUUGAGGCGAUAAAGUUUUCUAUAAUUUUGAUAUAAUUUGUCCCAAAAGUAGUACAACACACUGUAAAAGUUUCCUUGAGAAAGCGCAGGUGGGAUUUUUUUUAUUUUCAUUUAUGCUUUAAAAGAAAUGCACUACGAAAUAAUUGUGGUCUCGGACCUUAUGUGGUGUCGUCGGGUUGCUUGUCUUAUGGACUGAUACUUCUUUUUUCUUACAUUUGUGUGGUAUGAGGGUGUGGAUGGGGUUCUUAAUUUUUUUUAUUCGUUAUACUGUUUGUUCAUUAUUUUCUAUUCUUUAUCAUGAUUUAUAUUGUAGCACUUCAUUAUUCCCUAUUUGUUUAUAAAAAAUGGCGUGGCUCUGUACUUAAACAUCCUGUCAUUGUGUUAUUGUUCUAUAAUACAUUUUGUAUUUUUGUCUUUUAUUAUUGCUAAUAUGCUUUGUCUAUAUAUGCCUUAUUGUGUUCGUCUGUUACGUAUUACGCGGCUUUGUACUUAUACACCCGUCAUUGUGCUGUCCAUGGUGUUUAAAAAAUAUAAUCACGAAAAGAGGGUUGUGUUUUUUUUUUUUUUUUUUCUUGUUCUUUUAGUUUGCACUCAUGUUUAUUUGUCUCAAGAUAAUUAGUAAGACUUACGUAGAACUUGUAAGGACGUCUGCGUUAUUUUCACAAAAUUAUGUGCGCGUUAAUUCUUUUGUUUUUCGCUUGACACCCCAAAACCCCUUUGAAGCAAGUACGUGUUUGCGUUUCCGGACAAUUGGUUCUUUAAUCACUCAGAAAACACCACAGCAAAG